rnacentral:rRNA from 1 species
UAGAUAAUCUGCCUGAUGAUCCGGGAUAACACUUCGAAAGGGGUGCUAAUACCGGAUAAGCCCACGGGGUCUUUGGACUCUGCGGGAAAAGGGGGGACCUUCGGGCCUUUUGUCAUCAGAUGAGUCUGCGUACCAUUAGCUAGUUGGUAGGGUAAUGGCCUGCCAAGGCUACGAUGGUUAGCUGGUUUGAGAGAAUGAUCAGCCACACUGGAACUGAGACACGGUCCAGAUCCGUAACGGG